UGGGGAAUAUUGGGCAAUGGGCGAAAGCCUGACCCAGCAACGCCGCGUGAAGGAAGAAGGUCUUCGGAUUGUAAACUUCUUUUAUGAGGGACGAAGGAAGUGACGGUACCUCAUGAAUAAGCCACGGCUAACUACGUGC
rnacentral:rRNA from 1 species